CUAGAGAUUGGACUGGGCUGGUGGUCCCUGUACUAUGCUGGCCCUUGUUGUGAGGAAUACUUCCUUUUUUGAAUUGAUGUUGAUGCAACCACUUUGGUCCCUUCUUUGGCAUGAUUAUUAUUUAACUGUACACUUGCAGACCUUUUCUAAGAAUAUGCUAUUGUGUUGUGGUGUGCAUGUUUAUGUAUUGUAAAUUUUUAUCUUGUUUAUUUAUUUUAUAGCUGCCUGGUCUUCUAAGAGAAACUCCAUUCUUUGAUGACUGAUGGAAAAGCCUCAUCACUCCCUACUGCUAAAUAACCACUUAUCUUAAUCACCAGCCAUUUAUCAGUGAUCACUGUUAUCAAAGCUCCAUGGUGCGCAUGAUGCAACUUCCUGGAUGUUUGUCAACAUGUGAAACCCACGUGUAUUUUGAAGUGCGACAGUAUGUCUCCAGGUUAAGUGAUUGUGUAGAUUGAUUCCCAGCAUAACGAUGAUUUGCCAAAAGAGCAUAUGAAUAGAAAAUUGGUGAUGCUUAAAAAUAUCAGCAGAAUACAGAAAUUAAGAGACACAUAUGGAAAAAAACCCUCUAUCCAAUAUUAUUUACAUAUUAGGCCUAUACAACUAGAACAUGUAACAAGUGAAAUUUAAAUGUAUGCAUAUAUUUACUGUAAAUGUAUUAUAUUCAGCGUGUACGAUAUUUGGCGGAAAUUGAUUUUUGAACAAGUUAGCGUGAAUUUGAUUUAGCGAAUUCCUUUUUUUUUUUUUUUAUUUAUGUGUAGAGUGUAAGACAUUUAGCGUUGUAUUUGAAUGAGCGGAAGUUGCUUUCCGCCAAAGGCGCUAAAAAGAAUACACAGCCAAAUGUAAUACGUUUACAGUAUUAGAGCUGUUUUAAUGUAUACAAUUGUGUAUACAUGGUUGCUUGUUUGUUGACUCAGUGUAUAGAACAUGUACUACUAUAAUGUACAUCUUUCAUGUGUUAUUUCAAUGUGAUGUUGAAUCACAUUUAAAAUACAGCAAAGCUUUUACAGCUGAA